rnacentral:rRNA from 1 species
UACGAAGGGGGCUAGCGUUGUUCGGAAUUACUGGGCGUAAAGCGCACGUAGGCGGAUUUGUUAGUCGGGGGUGAAAUCCCGGGGCUCAACCUCGGAACUGCCUUUGAUACUGCAAGUCUAGAGUCCGGAAGAGGGGAGUGGAAUUCCUAGUGUAGAGGUGAAAUUCGUAGAUAUUAGGAAGAACACCAGUGGCGAAGGCGGCUCACUGGUCCGGUACUGACGCUGAGGUGCGAAAGCUUGGGGAGCAAACAGG